GGGCAGAGUCUCCGCAGCAAAACUAUGAAAAGUGAGAUUUUGGAAACAAGUGACCUCAUAUAGAUAGGGCCCCUCGACGGCUGGAAUGAGGGCGCGCCAACGAGAACCUCUCGGAUGAUCGACACGUGGCAGCACCUGGGCCCUCCUCCGGCCCGACGGUUCGACGCACCCAUCCCAGAUCGGGCCACGUCGCCUUCAUUUGCAUGAAUGACUCCGGCC
rnacentral:lncRNA from 1 species